rnacentral:rRNA from 1 species
AUUGAACGCUGGCGGCAGGCCUAACACAUGCAAGUCGAGCGCGAAAGUUCUUCGGAAUGAGUAAAGCGGCGGACGGGUGAGUAAUGCAUGGGAAUCUGCCUGGUAGUGGGGGACAACGUUUCGAAAGAGACGCUAAUACCGCAUACGCCCUACGGGGGAAAGGGGGGGAUCUUCGGACCUCUCGCUAUCAGAUGAGCCCAUGUCAGAUUAGCUUGUUGGUGAGGUAAAGGCUCACCAAGGCGACGAUCUGUAACUGGUCUGAGAGGAUGAUCAGUCACACUGGAACUGAGACACGGUCCAGACUCCGACGGGAGGCAGCAGUGGGGAAUAUUGGACAAUGGGCGAAAGCCUGAUCCAGCCAUGCCGCGUGUGUGAAGAAGGCCUUAGGGUUGUAAAGCACUUUCAGUGGGGAGAAAGGUUAUUCACCUAAUACGUGAGUAAAUUGAUGUUACCCACAGAAGAAGCACCGGCUAACUCCGUGCCAGCAGCCGCAGUAACAC